GACGAACGCUGGCGGCGUGCUUAACACAUGCAAGUCGAGCGGUAAGGCCUUUCGGGGUACACGAGCGGCGAACGGGUGAGUAACACGUGGGUGAUCUGCCCUGCACUUCGGGAUAAGCCUGGGAAACUGGGUCUAAUACCCGAUAUGACCUCCUACCGCAUGGUGGGUGGAGGCAAGAUUUAUCGGUGCAGGAUGGGCGCGCGGCCUAUCAGCUUGUUGGUGGGGUAAUGGCCUACCAAGGCGACGACGGGUAGCCGACCUGAGAGGGUGGCCGGCCACACUGGGACUAAGACACGGCCCAGAGUCCAACGGGGGGCAGCAGUGGGGAAUAUUGCACAAUGGGCGAAAGCCUGAUGCAGCGACGCCGCGUGAGGGAUGACGGCCUUCGGGGUGUAAACCUCUGUCGGCAGAGACGAAGCGCAAGUGACGGUACCUGCAGAAGAAGCACCGGCUAACUACGUG
rnacentral:rRNA from 1 species